GCCGCUGCUGCCGGAGAGCUUAACUCCGCAUCUGCGCUCACCGGCGAGCUCCCGCUCGCGGCUGACAGCUCGGAGGGCACGCGUCCCUUGUCUGCUGCGGCGCAGCAGCUCUUGUGGUGCUAGAAAUGCGCUGUCACUGAGCAAGAGGCGGAAGCCAAAAAUACCCCUGUAUCCUUACGGGUCAGGGUUAUAAGGAUCAGUGGUGAUUUCUCUCAGCACACAGCCAUAUUUUAUUGGGGAGAGGAGAGCGAACUUCCAAGUUUCCAAGUGUGUCCAAGAAUGCACUUUUAGGACAAUCUUCCGUUGUUUGGUAACACCUUGUUUGCCUGGCAUCUUAGGGGAGUGUUAAGAGGAAGCUUUCACCUUUAUCUCUGUAUCUGAACUCAUCCUCCUUUCAAGGAAGAAGGAGUAGUAGCUCAUCUGACCUGAGAGAACAGUUCACCCUUUUGGAAGGUGGAGGAUAGUUUAAAGUUUUUGGAAAGCUCCAUGCUUAGCUGGUUCCUGACCCAAGGAAGAUUUGGGUUCUGCUUCGGUUAUGGAUGAAAGAGAAAGACAUGGAGAGCUGACACUCCUGGGGAGUCCAGAUAAGAAAAAUACCAAGGAAGAGCCUAAUCUGGUUUUACUUUGUUCAAAGUAAAAGUCUCAAGAUCUGUGACAUAUAUAUCACCCUAAAACCAAAUUGAAAUAAACGUUACCUACGCCGGUCACGAAAACACCUGCUCAUUUCCAUAAAGGGUACAAAUAAGACAUAAUUCUACCCUAAAAUCAGCUAAUAGCUUAUCAAAAAUAAAACAAUAUAUGUGAUGCUCAUACAAGAAGAAGUAUAAAAAGGGAAGA